GACGAACGCUGGCGGCGUGCCUAACACAUGCAAGUCGAGCGGGGUUGAAGCGAGAGGUAACUCGAACUUCUACCUAGCGGCGGACGGGUGAGUAACGCGUGGGCAACCUGCCUCAAGGUCUGGGAUAACAGCCCGAAAGGGCUGCUAAUACUGGGUAUGCUUGUGGCCUCGCAUGGGGCUAUGAGCAAAGGGGAAACCCGCCUUGAGAUGGGCCCGCGUCCCAUCAGCUAGUUGGUGAGGUAACAGCUCACCAAGGCGACGACGGGUAGCCGGCCUGAGAGGGUGACCGGCCACACUGGGACUGAGACACGGCCCAGACUCCUACGGGGGGCAGCAGUGGGGGAUCUUGCACAAUGGGCGAAAGCCUGAUGCAGCGACGCCGCGUGAGCGAAGAAGGCCUUCGGGUUGUAAGCUCUGUCUGGAGGGACGGAAGGAAGUGACGGUACCUCCGGAGGAAGCACGGCUAACUACGUGCCAGCAGCCGCGGUAAAUCACGUGUA
rnacentral:rRNA from 1 species